rnacentral:rRNA from 1 species
CGUGUGCGCGAGUCAUUGGGUUCUAAACCUAAAGGCGCAAUGAAAGUGUCAGGGGGGCCUCCUAAGGGGGGUCUCCCCGCAGGGAGGAUGGGCCACCGCACACCUGUUGUCGGAGCCCCGCACUCCCGGGGCGUCUCGUCCUCAUCACGAGUAGAGACGCACCAGGAGCGCACACGCUGGUACCCGAAAGAUGGUGAACUAUGCCUGGCCAGGACGAAGCCAGGGGAAACCCUGGUGGAGGUCCGAAGCGAUUCUGACGUGCAAAUCGAUCGUAUGAGCUGGGUAUAGGGGCGAAAGACCAAUCGAACCAUCUAGUAGCUGUUUUCCUUCCGAAA